CCACCUAGUGAAACAAUUUACCCAGUGGGCAUUUGGAGGAGUCUGGCACAUGAAUAAAAACAGCAUGACUUUGAUUAGUUCUCUCAAAGUGUAAAACAAAUUGCUUUGCUUACUUUUAAACUGAAGAGGAUUGCCAGAAGGUAGCUAAAGCAAUCAUGUCAAGUAAAAGUUUUCAGGGAAUCAAACAACAGGCAGAGGGAGCGGCACAAGAUGCUGCAAAUACACUGGGCCAAGCUGCACAGGAUGCAGUGAAUCAAGCUACCAACGCAAGUCAAAAAGCAAUGGAUCACGUUUGCAAGACAGCUCAAGAUGGUGCUGAGAAAGCAACUGCUCAAGCAACUGAAGCAAUGUCUGCCUUUGGAAAAAAAUGUUCAUUUAAGAAAUGAUGUAAUAUAAGCAAAAGAUAUCAGCUAUUGUAAAACCUAUGUUUGCUCUACUGUUCAAAGUUUGUGUUGAAAAAUGAAAAUUAUUUGAGAUUAUGGAUAAUUUAGACUGUUUAAACUUAAUUAAAAAGCAUCAUGCAGAAUGCCCCACUCUAACAUUUAAAAAUAAUCCUGUGUAUUAUAUUCAUAAUCUCUUAUUCAAUAGGGAUCAUUAAAGUUCUAAUAUGACUUAAGGAUUUGUCUCCUUCUUAUGGCAGUGUAAAACUUGUUACUUUGUAAAUUGAAUAAAAAUAGUAAUACUUAUAUAACUGAUGAAACUACUAAUAUUUGUGUCAAUACAUAGGACAGCAAAACAGCCCCACUAUGAAAUUCAUCUUCAUUCCCCAGCCAAAAAUAAACUUUUGUUACAUUUAAAGUCAACUGUUCAUUUAUUCUAAUAUUUUUCAUAUAAUGGAAUAAAGCAAGGAAAAAAUACAUGAUUUCUUUUCCAACAUUUUCUGUAUGCACAGAAAUUAAUUAUGCAAAGCACCAAGCAUGACCAACUUGUAGCAUGCAAGCCACAAAUGGCAUGGGCAGCCUCUGUGUUUGGCUCUUGGUAGACUGGGGAGCGGACAGGAGGCAGAAAACAGAGCAGCCAAUCAGGCUGGGGAAGGGGAUUGGAGUGGUACACCUGCCAAAAAGGUUAGCCCCCAAUGCUUUACACACCAAACGAUCUCCAGGUAUUUCACAAAUAUCUCUGACCAUAGCCCAAAGUCCACUGAGGCCAAUAACCCCUGUGUGAAAUAGCCAACUACUGAGUCCAUUCUACUGUUAGAUAAAUUAAGACACAAGGGACCUGCCCCCAAGGGAGUGAGUGGUGCUGCCUGGGUUGCGCCAGCCAAUCACUGAGCCUGGCACCACCCGCAGGGGAUGGGGCCCUGUCUGCUGCAAGUGGUGCUUCUGUGCACUGAGCCCAACCAUGCCAGCUGAUCCUGGUGCCACUCGCAGGAGAUGGGACAUGGUAGCACCACUCACUGAGGAUGGGGUUGGACUUGGUGCUUGGCUGGCAUGGCCCAGGCAGCACUGCUAGCAGGGGAUGGGGGCAUGCCAGCCGAGCACCAAACCCAUCCCUGUCCCCGUCCCUGUCCCCUGUGAGUGGUGAUGGGCUUGGCGCUGAGCUGACAUGCCCUCAUCCCCUGCGAGCGGUGCUUACUGGGCUGCUCCAGCUGAGCACCUGAGCUCAGUGCUGCUCACAGGCUAUGGGGCUGGGCUCAGCACUCAGCAGUGCUGCCCGCAGGGGAUGUGUUAGUGCCAGCCAAGCCCGUCCCUGUCCCCUGCGAGCGGUACUGUAGAACGUGUCCCCCCUCCCAGGUGCCUGACCCACAGUGAGGGCAUGCAGGGGCUGGUAUAAGUCAACCCCAUAUUUCUGAUCCAAAAAAUUAGGUCAACUUACACACCAGAUCUAUGAAAUUUCUAACUUUUUGGAUCAGAAAAAUGGGGUCGACUUAUACACUGUGUCAACCUAUACAUCAUGAAAUACAGUAAUUCACUCUGCCGUAGGAGAGUACUGUCUGACACAAGUACUAUCCUAUGGCACACUUAUUUACCCCACGGCAACGCAUGUGUGGACAGUGACUGGGGCUGGUUGGGGCCUGAGGAUGCUACAGUGCAGGGGCUGCCUGUUGGCUAGCCUCACACUAUAGCAACCUCAUGUCCCAGCCAGUCCCUCCAUAGCAUGUUGAACCAGGUCAAAGCAGCUUCAGGUUGGCAGAUUGACCUCUGGGGCCACCUAUCAGCCAGGGCUACGCCUCCCCAGCUAAACAUGCUGUGCCCAGGAGCAAUAAACCCUGGCAUGAACAGUGCUGGAGUUUAUUCGGGUGCAUUAAUUACGCAUGUAGAUUUGCCCAAUGAAAGCAGAGUUAGACUCCUUAUCUUGAGAUGAAUGUACAAUAACAACUUUGAAAAUAUGUAUGAACAAUCAGUUCCAGUGACACAAUGUCAGAAAGACUUAAAACCCUCCUGCCUUCACCCUCUUCUAAUUUCUAAGGAACUUCCUCCAGAAAAGCCUGACUAAACAUGCUUAAAGUUAACUAUGCUUGCUUUUUCAGACCAUGAUGGAAGUGAAUUUGAGAGCCUUGG